rnacentral:lncRNA from 1 species
CUGCAACACUGGAGAAGCUCCAAAGAGGCUGUUUCCUUGCUUAGCCACGGGUGGAAGUCACAUCCACUGAACUGUCCCCUGGCAGGCAUUAUAAAUUAAGGAGGAAAAGUAACAAAGAGCUUGAAGACAUGCACAGCUCACAGGCCCCGGGUGGAGGCUGGCGGCAUCAGACAGACAGAACCAAGACAUCUGAGGGGCAACCAGGAGGUGCGUGUGGCUGCAGAGCACACAGACUUGUCUUGGGACAAAAUUGAGAAGAACUCAUAAACUUGGCUUACUCGCUUCUGCUCCUCAGGUGAGUUUAAUUCC